GGAUAAUCCCGGGUGACCGGGGAAAGGCUGGCGGAAGCUGGUUCCGCCCUCCCCUCCAGAGCGCGAUAGCGUAAUGUGAGGCAUAUAUCACCAGUUCCUCUGGCCGGAGUCGUGUCCGGUCAGUUCACACACGAAUCAGGAACUGAGCGGCGAGGCGCGAUUAGAAACCGCGCCGAGUCGAGUCAGGCCCACGGGACGUUUCGACCCGUGCGCCGACGCAGUUACCCCAGAGGGUUAUGGUUGCUACUGCGCAGACCAGAACGCAGUCGCGUUUCCUGGCGGGACGACCCCGCCAAAAGGCCCCACUCGCCGCACGAGGGGGGCACGCAAAGGAAGCGCGGCCGCGGGGAGAGAGCGGACCUAGGCAAAGUCCGUGCAACCUCCUCACUGGGGCGGUCCCGCAAAACGGGUUCGCCCUACUGCAAAAGCCAAAAGCAACCUGAGAGGUAAGAGGUCAGACCCGUAACGUAGGGCAAACGGCCGGCCAAAAGCUGGCGCUGUCCCUGCGGUCAUGGUGCCGACGCGAGAAAGUGAAAGUUUGCAGGCGUGUCAGCACCACGUCCGGCGAGCCGCUCCCGGCAGGGAGCGUCCGAACCGGGCGAAGAGGCCUCACUCGAAAGUUCCCGACCGGCAACGGUCAGGACGGUCCCGUCAUGAGACCGAGACAUCCGCAUGCCGCGGAGAGUGGCGUCGGGAAGCACACCGCCCGCGAAAGCGAGAGCGCCCAAGCGUGUGCCGCCGGGAAAGAGCGCGUGGCGAACGCC
rnacentral:sRNA from 12 species